AAUUUACUGGGAUGUACGAUUACUUGUUAUUUUGAACCUACAACUUUAAAUUGGGAGGCGCAUAAGCGAUGAAUGAUGUCAGGCCACAAGCUAAUUCCCUUUGGGCAGUGGAAGGCAAAUAUUUCUGACUGAGUCACCCACCUAGCAUAGCUAGGGCGUCAAAAUUGCAGGGACGGCAUUCUGGGAAUUUU
rnacentral:other from 2 species